UGACGGAGGCAUUUGCGGUGGUCGGCGUUGCGCCGGGCUGCUCGCUCCACCACUUUGUUAGUACUAAUCUUGAAGCGAGUUAGUUAGUCAGCAGCUUAGCGCGUACGUAGUGCCAAGGGGCUGCAUGCAGUAGUCAGUUGAGAUCCGUCGAGGCAGCUGCGUCGUUGUGUUUGUGCGCGUCGUGCGCGCAGCCCCGGCCGAGCGGAUCAUGGGCGCGUUAGAGCAUGUGGUGGGCGUUGGCAUAGCAAGCAGAUCAUGCAUGUCAGGUUAGUGGGUUAGUGGAUGCGUGCGUGCGUGUGCUGGUGUGCGUGCACCUGGCUAUAUAAGCCCAUUGUACUGCUUGUAUGCGUUGUACCGUGAGUUUAAGGAGAAAGAGAUUAGGGUGUUGGUGCGCCCGUGGCGGCGCUCCGGCGCCGGCCACUGAAAAUACUUGUGUCUCCACUCCGGUCGUCGUCUCCUUCCACCUCCAGUUCUUGUUCGUGAGAGAGAGAGCGUGAGAAGAGAGAGUUGCAGCUUCAGGCUGCAACAACAAGUGGUAUCAGAGCCUUGUCGAUCCGAGGCGCGGCCGUGGCGCGCGGUCAGUCCGCGGCGAGCACGGCGGACGCGGAGGCGGCGAGGGGACGCCGUAUGUGCGGCGAGCGCGGCGAGCGCGCCGGACCUGCGUGGUGGCGCAGAGGCCGCGGUGGCGCGGCAUGGCAGCGGCAUGGAGGAGCUGCGCGGCCAUGGAGGCCGUAGCGGCGCCAUGCGACGGCCGUGGAAGCGGGGACCGGCGUGAGCACGCCCAGGUCGAGCAGGCGGAGGCUCGGCUCCAUGGCCGGGUGUGAUGUGCUCACCGGCGCCCAUGUCUCGCGGAUGAGGAACGGCUCACGAUCGAGGAAGGUCUCGCGGAUGAGGAACGGCUCACGAUCGAGGAAGAAGAUGGUGGCUGCGACGGCGUGUGGCGCUGUCCCAUGAUCACAAGUUCAAGAUUAGGAGGGAGAAUGUUAGUACUAAUCUUGAAGCGAGUUAGUUAGUCAGCAGCUUAGCGCGUACGUAGUGCCAAGGGGCUGCAUGCAGUAGUCAGUUGAGAUCCGUCGAGGCAGCUGCGUCGUUGUGUUUGUGCGCGUCGUGCGCGCAGCCCCGGCCGAGCGGAUCAUGGGCGCGUUAGAGCAUGUGGUGGGCGUUGGCAUAGCAAGCAGAUCAUGCAUGUCAGGUUAGUGGGUUAGUGGAUGCGUGCGUGCGUGCGUGUGCUGGUGUGCGUGCACCUGGCUAUAUAAGCCCAUUGUACUGCUUGUAUGCGUUGUACCGUGAGUUUAAGGAGAAAGAGAUUAGGGUGUUGGUGCGCCCGUGGCGGCGCUCCGGCGCCGGCCACUGAAAA